GAUCCAGCGACGCCGCGUGUGUGAAGAAGGCCUGCGGGUUGUAAAGCACUUUUAGUGGGAAUGAAAAGCACAUUGCUAAUACCAGUGUGUCUUGACCUAACCCAAAGAAAAAGCACCGGCUAACUCUGUGCCAGCAGCCGCGGUAAUACAGAGGGUGCGAGCGUUAAUCGGAAUUACUGGGCGUAAAGCGUGCGUAGACGGUUAUUUAAGUCGGGUGUGAAAGCCCCGGACUCAACCUGGGAAUUGCAUUCGAGACUGAAUAGCUAGGGUACGGUAGAGGGAAGUGGAAUUUCCGGUGUAGCGGUGAAAUGCGUAGAUAUCGGAAGGAACAUCAGUGGCGAAAGCGACUUCCUGGACCAGUACCGACGUUCAGGCACGAAAGCGUGGGGAGCAAACAGGAUUAGAUACCCUGGUAGUCCACGCCAUAAACGAUGAGGACUAGACGUUGGAGGGGUAAGCCUUUCAGUGUCGUAGCUAACGCGCUAAGUCCUCCGCCUGGGGAGUACGGCCGCAAGGUUG
rnacentral:rRNA from 1 species